rnacentral:rRNA from 1 species
UACGUAGGGUCCGAGCGUUGUCCGGAAUUAUUGGGCGUAAAGAGCUCGUAGGCGGUUUGUCGCGUCUGCUGUGAAAGCCCGAGGCUCAACCUCGGAACUGCCUUCGAUACUGCGGGUCUCGAGUCCGGGAGAGGUGAGUGGAAUUCCUAGUGUAGAGGUGAAAUUCGUAGAUAUUAGGAAGAACACCAGUGGCGAAGGCGGCUCACUGGCCCGGUACUGACGCUGAGGCGCGAAAGCGUGGGGAGCAAACAGG